CCUACGGGGGGCUGCAGUCGAGAAUCUUUCACAAUGGGGGCAACCCUGAUGGAGCGACGCCGCGUGGAGGAUAAGGUCUUCGGAUUGUAAACUCCUGUCAUGCGAGAACAAGGUUGCAGGGCUAACACCUUUGCAAAUUGAUGGUACCGCAAGAGGAAGAGACGGCUAACUCUGUGCCAGCAGCCGCGGUAAUACAGAGGUGUCAAGCGGGGUUCGGAAGCACUGGGAGGAGAGGUUGCGUGUGAGGCGUGAAAGCCCGGGGCUCAACCUCGGAAUUGCAUCCGAUACUGCCAUGCUGGAGUACUGAAGAGGUGACUAGAAUUCUAGGUGUAGCAGUGAAAUGCGUAGAUAUCUAGAGGAAUACCAACGGCGAAGGCAGGUCACUGGGCAGUUACUGACACUGAGGCACGAAGGCCAGGGGAGCAAACGGGAUUAGAUACCCCAGUAGUC
rnacentral:rRNA from 1 species